rnacentral:rRNA from 1 species
UACGUAGGACGCAAGCGUUAUCCGGAUUUACUGGGCGUAAAGAGGGCGCAGGCGGCCCUUCAAGUCAGGUGUUAAAACUCUUGGCUUAACUGAGAGAUGCCAUCUGAUACUGUUGGGCUUGAGAGCAGUAGGGGGAGACGGAAUUCCCGGUGUAGUGGUGAAAUACGUAGAUAUCGGGAGGAACACCAGUGGCGAAAGCGGUCUCCUUGGCUGUUUCUGACGCUUAUGCCCGAAAGCGUGGGGAGCGAACAGG